rnacentral:rRNA from 1 species
GACGAACGCUGGCGGCGUGCUUAACACAUGCAAGUCGAACGGAAAGGCCCAGCUUUUGUGGGGUGCUCGUGUGGCGAACGGGGGAGUAACACGCGAGUAACCUGCCCUUGACUUUGGGAUAACUUCAGGAAACUGGGGCUAAUACCGGAUAGGAGCUCUUGCUCCAUGGUGUGGGUUGGAGAGUUUCGGCGGUUGGGGAUGGUCUCGCGGCUUAUCAGCUUGCUGGUGGGGUAGUGGCUUACGAAGGCUUUGACGGGUAGCCGGCCUGAGAGGGUGACCGGCCACAGUGGGCCUAGGGUACGGCCCAGACGGCAACGUGAGGCAGGAGUGGAGAAUAUUGCACAAUAGGCGGAAGCCUGAUGCAGCGACGCCGGGUGCGGGAUGACGGCCUUCGGGUUGUAAACCGCUUUCGCCUGAGACGAAGCGUGAGUGACGGUAAUGGAUAAGAAAGCACCGGCUAACUACGUG